GAUGAAGAACGCAGUGAAAUGCGAUAAGUAGUGUGAAUUGCAGAAUUCAGUGAAUCAUCGAAUCUUUGAACGCACAUUGCGCCCUUUGGUAUUCCUUAGGGCAUGCCUGUUCGAGCGUCAUUUAAACCUUCAAGCUCAGCUUGGUGAUGGGUGACUGCCCUCCCCUCGCGGGGGGACUCGCCUCAAAAACAUUGGCGGCCGGUACAUUGGCUUCGAGCGCAGCAGAAACGCGGUCUCGAGCCCGGUGGAUCGGCUCCCAUAAGUCUAUUCUUUUAUUUUGACCUCGGAUCAGGUAGGGAUACCCGCUGAACUUAAGCAUAUCAAUAAGCGGAGGA
rnacentral:misc_RNA from 1 species